rnacentral:rRNA from 1 species
GACGAACGCUGGCGGCGCGCUUAACACAUGCAAGUCGAGCGAUAACCAUGGCUUCGGCCAUGGGGAGAGCGGCGAACGGGUGAGUAACACGUGAGUGAUCUGCCCUCGACACCGGGAUAGCCCGGGGAAACCCGGAUUAAUACCGGAUGGCCUCUGGAGCCCAUGGGCUCGCGAGAAAAGAUGGCUUCGGCUUUCGGUCGAGGAGGAGCUUGCGGCGGAUUAGCUUGUUGGUGGGGUAACGGCUCACCAAGGCGACGAUCCGUAGCUGGUCUGAGAGGACGAUCAGCCACACUGGGACUGAGACACGGCCCAGACUCCUACGGGAGGCAGCAGUGGGAAUCUUGCGCAAUGGGCGAAAGCCUGACGCAGCGACGCCGCGUGAGGGAAGAAGGCCUUCGGGUUGUAAACCUCUUUCAGGAGGGACGAAGCUACUCGGGUUAAUACCCCAGAGGGUGACGGUACCUCCAGAAGAAGCCCCGGCUAACUACGUGCCAGCCGCCGCAGUAACAC